rnacentral:rRNA from 1 species
AUUGAACGCUGGCGGCAGGCUUAACACAUGCAAGUCGAGCGGGGUGAUGGUGCUUGCACUAUCACUUAGCGGCGGACGGGUGAGUAAUGCUUAGGAAUCUGCCUAUUAGUGGGGGACAACAUCUCGAAAGGGAUGCUAAUACCGCAUACGUCCUACGGGAGAAAGCAGGGGAUCACUUGUGACCUUGCGCUAAUAGAUGAGCCUAAGUCGGAUUAGCUAGUUGGUGGGGUAGAGGCCUACCAAGGCGACGAUCUGGAGCGGGUCUGAGAGGAUGAUCCGCCACACUGGGAAUGAGAAACGGGCCAGACUCCUACGGGAGGCAGCCGUGGGGAAUAUUGGACAAUGGGGGUAACCCUGAUCUAGCCAUGCCGCGUGUGUGAAGAAGGCCUUAUGGUUGUAAAGCACUUUAAGCGAGGAGGAGGCUCUUUUGGUUAAUACCCAAGAUGAGUGGACGUUACUCGCAGAAUAAGCACCGGCUAACUCUGUGCCAGCAGCCGCAGUAA